rnacentral:rRNA from 1 species
UGCGUAGGCGGCCGCUUAAGUAGGGUGUGAAAUACCUCGGCUCAACCGAGGAAUUGCGCUCUAAACUGGACGGCUUGAGUGAGAUAGGGGUGUGCGGAACUUCCAGUGGAGCGGUGAAAUGUGUUGAUAUUGGAAGGAACGCCGGUGGCGAAAGCGGCACACUGGGUCUUAACUGACGCUGAGGCACGAAAGCCAGGGUAGCGAACGGGAUUAGAUACCCCGGUAGUCCUGGCUGUAAACGCUGAGCACUAGACGGGAGGGGCUUCGGCCCAUUCGGUCGCAGCGAAAGCAUUAAGUGCUCCGCCUGGGGAGUAUGGUCGCAAGGCUGAA